AAAAGUUUAUCCGUAAUUUGAAUGUAUGAACUAAUUUCUUCGAGGGUUUGUUUAAGUAAACAUUUGAAAUUUUUGAAGCGUGGUGUUCGCACAAGCCUGUCGAUCGUAAAAAUCUUGGUUCGAUUGCAGGUUGCCAUGGAAGCUAUUUUGUUUUCAAAUUUUAGUUUCUUUGGACAAAUUUAAGAAAUUCAAUUCAAUUUCUUUUGGUGAUCUAUUUAGCUGAGUAAAUCUUUGUUGGAAGUUCUAUUGAACAACCUAAAGCAGUUCUGGUGAUAUGUUUAGGGAGAAUAUCUUGUGUAUUUCCGAAGAAGUUUUGUGGUGCAUUCCUGAAGAUGCUAUUAGAAUGAUUAGUGCUUGAGAUUUACAAGAAAUCCUUAGAAAAAGUUUGAAUAAAUUUUCGUACAACUCUAGAAUGAUCCCAGAAAGAAUAUUUGCAAAAAUAAAUCUUUAUAAUCAAAUGCUUGGAAUAAA